GAUGAACGCUGGCGGCGUGCUUAACACAUGCAAGUCGAACGAUGAAGCCCAGCUUGCUGGGUGGAUUAGUGGCGAACGGGUGAGUAACACGUGAGUAACCUGCCCUUAACUCUGGGAUAAGCCUGGGAAACUGGGUCUAAUACCGGAUAGGAGCGUCCACCGCAUGGUGGGUGUUGGAAAGAUUUAUCGGUUUUGGAUGGACUCGCGGCCUAUCAGCUUGUUGGUGAGGUAAUGGCUCACCAAGGCGACGACGGGUAGCCGGCCUGAGAGGGUGACCGGCCACACUGGGACUGAGACACGGCCCAGACUCCUACGGGAAGCAGCAGUGGGGAAUAUUGCACAAUGGGCGCAAGCCUGAUGCAGCGACGCCGCGUGAGGGAUGACGGCCUUCGGGUUGUAAACCUCUUUCAGUAGGGAAGAAGCGAAAGUGACGGUACCUGCAGAAGAAGCACCGGCUAACUACGUG
rnacentral:rRNA from 1 species